CCUGGCGGCCGUAGCGCGGUGGUCCCACCUGACCCCAUGCCGAACUCAGAAGUGAAACGCCGUAGCGCCGAUGGUAGUGUGGGGUCUCCCCAUGCGAGAGCAGGGAACUGCCGGGC
rnacentral:rRNA from 1 species